rnacentral:lncRNA from 1 species
GGUCUUAUCUCUACAAAAAAAUAUCUAAAAUAGUUUUAGUUUAGCAAAAAAACAAAUUUAAAAUAGUUUUGGCCUCGUUAACGUUUUAAAAAAUAUACAAGUAUAAGGUCCAAAAUUUUGCCAAAAAUAUACACGCAACUUUAAGUACAGUCAGCCCUCCUUGCCGAAGCUCUAGCUAUCAAAACUGUCCUCAAUUAUGCGGCUACACCAAAAUCUGGUUUAUAUCAGAUUUUGUAGGACUCAUCAGAGCUAUCAAUUCGAUCUCAAAACCGAAGAACAUCUACGGAGUCUUUGCGGAUAUCAAACUUCCAUCGUCAUACUUCACUUUCUGUUUUUUUCCUUUAUACUUAGGGAACAAAAUAGGCCUGCUGGUUCUUUGGUAAACUUAUCUCUUUGUAAUCCGAAUGCUUCUUGGACUUUGGCCUGAUUAUCUAAUAUUAAGAAUUGUUGUUAAAAAAAAAUGUUCAGAAUUUUAUAGUUAUUCAAAAUAUUUCAUGUAUACAUCAAAUAGUUUAGAUGUUUUUUUGGUGUAAGUUCAGAUGUUAACAGUUACUAUAUUUUUUGUUUGAGAAAAUUUUUUGAUAGAGAAUCAUGAAUCGAAGUUCGACUUCCAUGGAAGUCUUCUACGUUAGUUUUUGUAAAUGUGUUAAGUAACUUUAAGAUAUGUUUAUUUAAUUUUCAAAAGUGUUGAGUAACUUCAAGAAUAUCAAGUAACAUGGUUUAAUGUGAC